rnacentral:rRNA from 1 species
UAGGGAAUCUUCCGCAAUGGGCGAAAGCCUGACGGAGCAACGCCGCGUGAGUGAUGAAGGUCUUCGGAUCGUAAAACUCUGUUAUUAGGGAAGAACAAAUGUGUAAGUAACUAUGCACGUCUUGACGGUACCUAAUCAGAAAGCCACGGCUAACUACGUGCCAGCAGCCGCGGUAAUACGUAGGUGGCAAGCGUUAUCCGGAAUUAUUGGGCGUAAAGCGCGCGUAGGCGGUUUUUUAAGUCUGAUGUGAAAGCCCACGGCUCAACCGUGGAGGGUCAUUGGAAACUGGUUGACUUGAGUGCAGAAGAGGAGAGUGGAAUUCCAUGUGUAGCGGUGAAAUGCGUAGAUAUAUGGAGGAACACCAGUGGCGAAGGCGACUCUCUGGUCUGUAACUGACGCUGAGGCUCGAAAGCGUGGGUAGCAAACAGG